CAAAUUGUGCCCAUCGUUGGCACGCGUGCUGGAUUGCU
rnacentral:misc_RNA from 1 species